UAAUACGAAGGGGACUAGCGUUGUUCGGAAUCACUGGGCGUAAAGCGCAAGUAGGUUGUUAGGUAAGUCAGAUGUGAAAUCCUCGCUUUCAAGGUGAGAACUGCAUUUGAAACUGCUUAACUAGAGUACAGUAGGGGAUAGUAGAAUUCCAAGUGUAGCAGUGAAAUGCGUAGAUAUUUGGAGGAAUACCAGUAGCGAAGGCGUCUAUCUGGGCUGUAACUGACACUGAGUUGCGAAAGUAUGGGGAGCAAACAGGAUUAGAUACCCUGGUAGUCCAUACUGUAAACGAUGAGUGCUAAACGUUGGUCUUUAGAGAUCGGUGUUUGAGCUAACGCAUUAAGCACUCCGCCUGAGUAGUACGGUCGCAAGAUUAAAACUCAAAGGAAUUGACGGGGAUCCGCACAAGCGGUGGAGCAUGUGGUUUAAUUCGAAGAUACGCGAAAAACCUUACCAGGGCUUGACAUUAUAGUAGAUAUUGUGAGAGAUCAUAAUAGCAUUUA
rnacentral:rRNA from 2 species